rnacentral:lncRNA from 1 species
AGAAAAGUGUAUUACUUUGGUAAAUUGUUUUAUAUAAUGACUUAGUUUGGUUAAAUUCUUUAAAUCUAAUAAUACUUAAUUAGUGGACAUUUUUAUUAAGUGGUUUUUGACCAUUCUUAAUAAACAUCACAUUGAAAUAGAAAACAAACAAACUAGUACAUAUAUAGUGUUCAUGACCAGACACUAUAUUCUUGUUCUUGUGAAAUUAACUCACAGUACAUAAUGUUCCCACUUUAUUCUAGUAGUACAAAUUUAUAUAUUUUAAACACACAACCACAUGGAUAUAUAUUACCUUAUUAUUAUCAUAGCCUUUAAGCUAGAACGUACACACAAGACAUAAUUUAGUUGCAUUGACUCUGGCAUCCCUGUCCACAGUAAUCAGGAGUAGUGCCACAAUAACCAUAUGGACUACAACAUAACCCAUUGGCACACAAAGCUCCACCAGCUUGACUUCCACAUUGUUGUGCAUUUGAUACACUUAGCAACAAUGCUAAAAUAGUUACAACAAGCACAAAAAAUUUCAUCAUUUUCAUUUUUUCUUAUUUUUAUGAGAUAUUUAAUCAGUAAUAUUAUUAGUUAUGGAUGGGAUUUAAGUAGAAGAAUGCAUGUGGUAUUUAUAGUGAGUGAUGUGCCUACUUUUGUUGAAAAGUUUAGGUUCAUGUGGGGGAAAGAAGAAAAUUAGUAAUGUGUGAGAAUGAUAUUUUUAUUUGUUUUAUUUUCUUAUAUAAGUAACACUUCUAUAUUAGACAUAAUAUAUAAACGUGCCUUUACCUUGAUCUCAUUUGACAUAUAUAUCCACUAAUUUUGAAUGUGCACAAUAGAAACUAAAAGUAUUAUAGAUUCAACAAGUAGACACUCAAAUCUUACUUGGCGUCGUAUAUGACAAUUCACAUCCUACAUAGCAUUUUAUAUGACAUCAUACGUGUAUUAUAUGAUACAUGUGUCUACUUGUGCACACACAAAAUAGAAAAAUAUAAAUGUGAGUUAAUACUAAGUUAAAGAAUCUUAUGUUUUUAUUUUAUUGCACACAUAAUAUUAAUUUUUAAAAAUUAAUUGACAAACAUAAUUCGACACGGUAUGUUCCUAAACAUUUUCUUAUUUUCCACAACAUUAGUGGAAAGGACAAAUUGAAAACUUAGAAAAUAAUAAUAUUUUCAAGGCUCCUAUCUCAAAAAGGUGGUUUUUACUAUAAUAGGGAGAAUGAAGUAGAAUCACAACACUACCAUAUUUGUAACAUUCAAAUUUCUUCGCAUAGAUAAUGUUCAGGCGGCUAAGCGAGAAAAAUUAUCUUAUGGAGAAAUUGGGAUAAGACAUAAGUACCCAUUAAAUUAUGAUUGAAAUUUCAGCAACAUUUCCCUUUAAACUCAAAUUUUAUGAUUUUUGUUUUUUACAUUUUUUGUGCUGACAUAACAAUUUCAACCAGAUAAUAAUUUUCUUCAAUGGCUUAUCGGUAGGAUUUUUAGAUAUGAAGAUAUAGUCAUGUGAUACAAUUUACUUUCAUUUGAUUUUUUCUUCGAUCACCUACGAUCAAGCGAUCCAGAUAUAAUACAUAGAUGAUAGACCUAGCCAGUUCCCAUCUGUCAUCUCCAACCUCAUACAGCUGGUGCGUGUGAAUGCAGAUAUAGUCAUGCGAUAAAUUCUUUCAUUGGAUUUUCAUGCCAUGAUCGGCCCCUACCUCUAGUAUCUCUUGGUCAUGGAACAAGAAGAUAAAAUGUUUACUCUUUUUUUUUUGGAAAUAAAAAAGAAGGUGAAACAUAUAUAUAUAAUAUUAGAUUAGUUGUGGAUAAACCAUGUAUGUAGAGAAAAUUAAAUUCUAUAUAAAAAUAGUAGUUUAUUCACAAAUAUCCUGUUUUUCAAAAUAUAAAUAAGAAGAACUUUCACACAUUAAUUUUAAAUAUGCAUAAUUAACUAAUUAGUUUAAAGUGCUUGUGGGUAAAAAAAUUAAUAUAAUAUUUAGAACACAUUCAUUAUAAUUAUCAGGAGAUUCAAAAGACAAAGUAAAAAAAUUGAAAGGUUUUGUUUUCCUUUCACUCGAACUCUCAAAGUUAAUCUUAUGCCCUUUUUUUUAUAUACAAAGUAAAUAAUCUCCUCUCAAGUGAAGAUACUCCAGUACCUGCUGAUGAUAUGCCAGACAGGGAAAAAUUUAUGAUUGUUGAAGCAUGGAAAUAGUCAGACUUCCUAUGUAAAGGUUACAUUUUGAGUGCUUUAUAGGAUGACUUAUAUAAUGUCUAUAGUGCAAUAACAACUUCAAAAGAGUUGUGGAAUGCACUUGAGAAGAAAUAUAAGACAGAAGAUGCAUGCUUGAAAAAAUUUGUGGUCGCAAAGUUUUUAGACUAUAAAAUGAUAGAUAGUAAAACUGUUGGAUCACAAGUGCAGGAACUUCAACUUAUUCUCCAUGAUCUGAUUGAUGAAGAUAUGGUAGUAAAUGAAGCUUUUCAAGUGGCUACAAUGAUCGAGAAGUUGCCUCCUUCGUGGAAUGAUUUCAAGAAUUAUCUAAAGCAUAAGCGUAAAGAAAUGAAGCUUGAAGAUCUUGUGAUUCGUCUCAAGAUUGAGGAAGAUAACAGAAAUGCCGAAAAGAAGUCGUGUAAGAGUUCAACAAUCAUUGGAGUUAAUAUUGUUGAAGAAGCUCCUACCAAAGACAAAAAGAGAAAGAAGUCCAACGGGCAGAAGUCAGAACAGGCCAAGAAGAAAUUCAAAGGCAACUGUUAUAAUUGUGGCAUGGCUGGUCAUAGAUCUUCUGAUUGUCAUGCUCCAAGAAAGGAUAAAUACAAAGGCAAAGGCAAAAGUCAAGCAAACAUCAUGGAAAAAAUAGAAGAUGCAGAUGACUUGUGUGCAAUGAUAUCAGAGUGUAACUUAGUUGGAAAUCCCAAGGAGUGGUUUCUCGACUCGGGUGCUACUAGACAUAUUUGCUCUGCAAAAGAAGCCUUGCAACGUACACUCCUGCUGAGUACGAUGAAGAUUUAUUCAUGGGAAACACGCAACAGCAAGGAUUGCAGGAACUGGAAAAGUAAUGUUGAAAAUGACAUCCGGCAAAGUGUUGACUUUAAACAAUGUUCUGGAUGUCCCUACUAUUAGGAAGAAUUUAGUUUCUGUUGCACUACUCGUUAAGAACAGGUUUAAGUGUGUCCUAGUUAGUCAUAAAGCUGUAAUAAGUAAGAAUGAAAUGUUCAUAGGAAAGGGCUACCUCAAUGAGGGUCUUUUCAAACUAAGUGUAAUGGUUAUUGACAGUAUUAAUAAAAAUUCUGCUUCUGUUUACUUAUUGGAGUUAAGUGAUUUAUGGGAUGCCCGUUUGGGACAUGUAAAUUACAAAGCCUUGCGAAAAUUGGUUAAUCUAGAAGUAUUGCCUGAUUUUAAAUGCGAUAAGUCAAAAUCUGAAAUUUGCGUGGAAAGUAAGUUUUUACAAGUUUGUUGAAAGAAGUUCUAAAACUUUAGACUUAAUUCACACAGAUAUAUGCGAUAUGAAGUCAACACUAUCUCGUGGUGGGAAAAGUAUUUUAUAUCUUUUGUUGAUGACUGCACUCGAUUUUGUUAUGUAUAUUUGCUUAAUAGUAAGUAUGAAACAAUUGAUGCAUUUAAGCAAUACUAAAAUGAAGUGGAAAACCAAUUGAAUCUAAAGAUAAAAAUGAUUCGGAGUGAUAGGGGUGGAGAAUAUGAAUCUCCUUUUGCAGAGAUAUGUUUGGAAUAUGGUAUUAUUCAUCAAACUACUGCACCUUAUACACCACAGUCAAAUGGUUUGGCAGAACGGAAGAACAGAACAUUAAAGGAAAUGAUGAAUGCCUUAAUGAUCAAUUCUUGUUCACCACGAAAUCUUUGGGGGGAAGUCAUCCUUACAGCUAAUAAAAUACUCAAUAGAGUACCCCAUCAAAAAACACAAUCAAUUCCAUAUGAGUUGUGGAAGGGAAGAAAACCCAACUUGAAAUAUUUCAAAGUGUGGGGGUGUUUAGCCAAGGUAGAGGUUCCUUUACCUAAGAGGGUUAAAAUUGGACCCAAAACAAUAGAUUGUGUCUUUAUUGGGUAUGCUGUGAAUAGUAAAGCUUGUCGAUUUUUGGUUCACAAAUCUGAUAAUCCUGAGAUUCAUGUUAAUACGAUAAUAGAAUCAGAUAGUGCAGAGUUUUUUGAAAACAUUUAUCUGUAUAAAACUGAAAGUGAGUCAACAAGUGAAAGACCUAAACGACCACGAGAAGAAUCAAUGGAAAUUAUUCUAACUACUGAGGAACCUAGGCGAAGUACUCGACAACGAAAAUCUGUUUCUUUCGGACCAUAUUUUGUAGCACUAUUGCUUGAAAAUGAGCCUCAAACAUUUAAAGCAGCUAUGUCUUCGUCAGAGUCAACUUAUUGGAAAGAAGCAGUCAAUAGUGAGAUUGAAUCAAUUUUAAGCAAUCACACUUGGGAAUUGACUGAUCUUCCUCCAGGAAAUAAACCUUUAGGAUCAAAAUGGAUCUUUAAAAGGAAAAUGAAACCUGAUGGGACUAUUGACAAAUAUAAGGCUAGACUGGUAGUCAAAGGGUACAGACAAAAGGAAGGUCUGGACUACUUUGACACAUACUCUCCAGUAACAAGGAUAACAUCAAUUAGGAUAUUAAUAGCACUAGCAGCAGUGCAUGAUCUUAAAAUCCACCAAAUGGAUGUAAAGACAGCAUUCUUAAAUGGAGAGUUAGAGGAAGAAAUUUACAUGGAACAACCUGAAGGGUUUAUAGUUCCUGGUAAAGAAAAGAAAGUGUGCAGACUUGUGAAGUCACUUUAUGGACUCAAGCAAGCACCCAAACAACGGCAUGCUAAAUUUGAUCAAAUAAUGUUGGCAAAUGGAUUCAAGAUUAACGAAUGUGAUAAAUGUGUUUACAUUAAAAACGUUAUGAAUGAUGAAGUCAUUGUUUGUUUGUAUGUUGAUGACAUGUUAAUAAUGAGUAAAGAAAUUGACGAUAUAAAUGCUACUAAGCGCAUGUUGUCCAGCAAGUUUGAUAUGAAAGACUUAGGAGUUGCUGAUUUGAUCUUAGGGGUCAGGAUUAUCAAAACUCCCCAGGGACUAGCAUUAUCUCAAUCUCAUUAUAUUGAAAAAGUAUUGGAUAAGUUCAAUUACUUGAAUUUCAAUGUAGUCAAAACUCCAAUUGAUUUAAGUUGUACAUUUAAAAAGAAUGAAGGUCAAAGUGACUCUCAAUUGGAAUAUGCCAGAGUGUUGGGAAGUUUGAUGUAUAUUAUGAAUUGCACGCGACCAGAUAUAGCAUGUGCUAUUAGUAAACUGAGUCGGUACACUAGUAAUCCGAAUCAAACUCACUGGAUGGCUAUGAAACGUGUGUUGGGUUAUCUAAAAUGGACACAACAUUAUGCUUUGCAUUAUAAUAAAUAUCCUGCUGUGAAUGAAGGAUAUAGUGAUGCAAAUUGGAUCACCGGGUCAAAUGAUGUAAAAUUCACGAGUGGUUAUGUAUUUAUACUUGGUGGAGGAGCUGUCUCUUGGAAAUCUUCCAAACAGACAUGUAUUGCUCGCUCCACAAUGGAAUCUGAAUUCAUUGCUUUGGAUAAGACUGGUGAAGAAGCGGAAUGGCUCCGGAAUUUCCUAGAGGAUAUUCCAUUCUGGCCCAAACCUGUUGGACCAAUUUGCAUACAUUGCGAUAGUCAAGCAACAAUAGGUAGGGCAGGGAGCGUUAUGUACAACGGGAAGUCUCGUCAUAUACGACGUAGACAUAACACCAUAAGACAACUGCUCUCUACUGGAAUUAUCACAAUUGACUAUGUAAAGUCAAGCGAUAAUGUGUCAUAUCCACUAACGAAAGGCCUAGUGAGAGAGGCAGUUGAAAGAUCAUCUAAGGGAAUGGGUUUACGGCUUAGGACAAGUCAGCAUGACGGUAACUCUAUCUAGCGGACUGGAGAUCCCAAGAGCUAGAUUCAAGGAGAAAAACAAAGUUGUGGCUGACGGUUCGACAUUGUCAAUUAACUCAAUCCAUUCUCAUGAUGAAGAUAAUGUUCAGGAAAAGGUUAAGACUUUAAGUCUUGUUAAUGAGGUAAUAAAGCUUAAAGAUUUUAAUGAUUUGCUAAGUUUGGUAGAUUCGACCAAAUAGUGUAUCUACGAGAUGACACGGUUAGAAAUCACCUAUGUGAGUGUGAAGUGGAAGCCGCUUCAAAGAGAUUUUUAUGUCAAAAGUCUAUUCUCUAUACACUCAUGAAACCAGGAGGUGUUCAUGGCUGAAAAGAACACAACCGUAAGAAUCAUAAACAGUAAAGGGUUAAUUGUGUGACAUAUGGUUGUCUAGGUAUACACCAAAGUUCAACGGUUCAAAGAUAUCACAUCUACCGAUUGACCGAGUAUAUCCGACAUAUGCUCACUACGGAAAGUCCAAGGGGAAACCUACUUAUCCAGAUGCAAUUAAUCCUUGCUUGUAAAGUACACAAUUGUCCGUGCAUUCCUAUGUUAUAACUAUUCUCCAUCAAUGUGGGGGAUUGUUGGGUAUGUAGCAAGAAUUGAUGGGAAAUAGAGGGAAGGAGAGGAAUUUGAAAAGUUUAGAACUUGAAAGGUUGGGAAUUUGAAAAGUCCUCUAAUGCUUUAAUAAAAAAGUCAAUAGUCCCUCGUCGGUAAUGGAAAUGAAAAUAGGAGAGUUUAAAUAAAUAAACACUCCUAUUAAUUGUUAAAAGGGUUGGAAAGAGGGACCCCCCUCGCGCCGUCGUCGUCAUCGCUCGCUUUGACUUUGGCUUUGGCAAAUGAUCGAUCGAGAGAUAAUUUUUUGGAUAAAUUUGUUUUAAUUAUUUAUUUAAUUAAUUAAAUGGCCAAAAAUUAUUUUCAAUUAAUUAGUUGAUAACAGAAAUUAACCGAAAUGUUUUCAACUUUUUAGUUAACCCGACCCGACUCGGAUCCGCGCGCGUGACCCGUUUUAAAUUCCGUUAUAUUUAAAAAUUCCCGCCACUGUUCUGAAAGGUUGCAACUUUCAGGAACAGUCAAUACCAUUUGAAAGUUUGCAACCUUUCAUUAAUGGUCGUGCAUCCUUUCAGAAUAUAUUAUUCUUGCCUAUAAAUACCAUUCAGUCUUCAGAAUAUUGACUAACGAAUUUUCUGAUCUUCCUUCUUCUUAAAAACACAUAUUUCUUCGUGUACUUUCCUGCUGUGGAUUGAUUCGCUGACAGUAGAGUUUUUGGUAUCUAUACUCUACUGAUUAAGAUCAUUUUACCCUGGGAGGUUAUAUUCCAAAUCAAACCUCGGAUACUAGAGGGAAAUAAUUUCCUUAAGGGGACACUGUGAAUUCAGUGGACUUGAUUUUUUUCCUAAAUUUUCUGAAAGAGUAUUGCAGAUUCUGGUAAGUUUUACAGAUUAAAUUAUUUUUUACAAAUAAAGUUCUGUUCAUCUUAUUUACUGGUUCUAAAAAAUCUCAGUUACUUCGUGUUUCUGAAUGAUUUAUUACAACAAGUAAUUUCUGAUUUUCUUAACACAGAUUGACAACACUAAUUUGUACAAUCAAUUAUUAAUGGUAAAUCAAAGAUCUUGCUAUAUUCAAUACUUUCUUGCAAUUUAAUAAACUCUUCUUCCCAGCGGCGCACCUAGGAUUUUUGUUUAGGAGGUUCAAAAAAUAAAAAUAUAAACGUGUAAAUAAGUCUUUCGAAAUGGGUCCUUUGAAUAAAAAAUGCUUGAAACUAUAAAGGAAAAUAAAUAAAUGUUGAAGGCAUUCAAACCUUGGGCGUGCAACUUAAUAUUCAAGGGUCUUACCAUUAAGCCAUCUAUUUUUAUUUGUUAUUAAGGGGUUCAAAAUAUAUGUAUCUACAAAAAUAUAAAAAAUUUACCUUAUAUAUAUCGUUUUUUUUUUUGCCGAGGGUGUUCGGAUGAAUACCCUGGACCCAACGUGGGUCCGACCCUGCUUCUUCCCCUUUUUCUUCUUGCAAGGAAAGUAAUUUUUUCUGCAGUUAUUACCCAAAAGAUUGCCUUUUGUAUGAUUAGAAAUUCAGAAAGAUCAAAUCUAUUCAAGACUCCACUUGACUAAAAGUUGAGAAAAUAUAUACCAGAAAAAGUUGCAACUAAAUAAGAAUCUUUUAUUAAGUAGUGUUUGCACACUUUAUGUAUACUAACUUUUUAAUUUGUCAAAUAUUAUUGUAUAUUUUGCUUUUUAUUAUAUACUAUAUAUAUAUUAGUCGACUACCACGCCGUUUUGGUCCAUGUAUGGAGUUUGCUCACUGCAGAUCAUGAAUAUUUGCAUAUAUAAAUCACUUAGCAUGUGUGUAUGCUUUAAUUUAUUUAUUGCUGUUUUGUUUCAUGAUGUAGUGAAUUUUGGGUAUUAUUUGGUCUGAGUUUCUUACCAUAUAUAUGUUUAUUUAUUUUAGGAAAAGGUUUAACCUUGGCUAUCCUUUUUUUUUUUUGUAGGAAAUGGUUUAUAAUUGGCUAGUCCGUUUCUUGUGGGGAAAAUUUGUGGAACACAAGUUUAAUACGUUAUCACUUGUGUGAACCUCCCUUGUAUUCCUAGUGAAUUGAUUGAUGUAAUAAAUUCUCUCUAUAUUUUGUACUCUCAUAUUUAUAUAGUGAAUAUUUCAUUCCUUUGUGGACGUAGAUCGAUUGAUCGAACCACGUUAAAUCUUUGUGUCUUUUGAUACAUUUCUUGUUUGUCUUCUUACUCGAGCGCGAUCUAUCGAGGUCUAUCGAAGUUUUCUUUGUUAACUUUCGCAUUACAUCUAAUUAUUUUCGAUCCUAACAGUGAGUAUUGAAUGACUGUACGAUCUUUAUUGAUAUAGUUGAUUAUGUGGUAAUUAUAAUUGUUGACUAUGAAUUGUUUAUGUGUUAAAGUCUGAUCUAUUUGUUAUUUGACUUGCGCGUUGCUUCUUUCUAAUUUGAAUUGGACUAUUUAUUUGAUAUAUAUGUUUAACACAUGGAUGAAAACAUGAUAUGAAAAGUAAAAUUAUUUGAAUGAAUCUAAUAAUACUUAAAUAGUGGACAUUUUUAUUAAGUGGUUUUUGACCAUUCUUAAUAAACAUCACAUUGAAAUAGAAAACAAACAAACUAGUACAUAUAUAGUGUUCAUGACCAGACACUAUAUUCUUGGUCUUGUGGAAUUAACUCACAGUACAUACAUGUUCCCACUUUAUUCUAGUAAUACAAAUUUAUAUAUUUUAAACACACAACCACAUGGAUAUAUAUUACCUUAUUAUUAUCAUAGCCUUCAAGCUAGAACGUACACACAAGACAUAAUUUAGUUGCAUUGACUCUGGCAUCCCUGUCCACAGUAAUCAGGAGUAGUGCCACAAUAGCCAUAUUGACUACAACAUAACCCAUUGGCACACAAAGCUCCACCAGCUUGACUUCCACAUUGUUGUGCAUUUGCUACACUUAGCAACAAUGCUAAAAUAGUUACAACAAGCACAAAAAAUUUCAUCAUUUUCAUUUUUCUUAUUUUUAUGAGAUAUUUAAUCAGUAAUAUUAUUAGUUAU